AAAGCCGGAUGGAUGAAGUGGCGCCAAGCUUCUGGCAUUCUCUGUGACAAGAGAGUGCCACAAAAGCUAAAAGGCAAGUUCUACAGGACGGAGGUUCGACCCGCAAUGUUGUAUGGUGCGGAGUGUUGGUCGACUAAAAGGCGACAUGUUCAACAGUUAGGUGUGGCGGAGAUGCGUAUGUUGAGAUGGAUGUGUGGCCACACGAGGAAGGAUCGAGUCCGGAAUGAUGAUAUACGAGAUAGAGCUGGGGUAGCACCAAUUGAGGAGAAGCUUGUCCAACAUCGUCUGAGAUGGUUUGGGCAUAUUCAGCGCAGGCCUCCAGAAGCUCCAGUGCAUAGC
rnacentral:rRNA from 1 species